GUCUAUGACCAAACCGCCCUGCAUGUGCCCGGUCUUGUCUUACCUAAACAGCCAAGCAAGAUUGAGCCUGCUUAAGAGAAAGAUGAGAGACUGCCUGAGAAUACCAGGUGUUGUGGAAU
rnacentral:rRNA from 1 species